UACCACUAAGCCACAACUCCAGUCCUCAAAGAUUAUUCUUUCAGAAAAUUGGGAGAUGAGGGAACGAGAGAGAAGGCAGUAGCAAGAGAGGCAGUAUACACGGUGGUUCAACAAAGGAGUUUACAGCAGGGUUGCUCAAGUCUGAAAUGCUGCUGUCUCACUUGAAAGCUAUAUGAAUGUGUGGGCAAAUUAUUCAGGUUCUGUCCUCUGUGGCUGAGCAGAGAGCAGGGCAAGGCUGCAGAGGAAGUAAUAAGGGGUGAGCCUAGAGGGGAGGCGGGAGAGCUCAGAUGUAUAAAGACUAAAGUGUAACAGGAGCAAAGACCACAGGAAUUCUGCUAGAUUGUCAACUCAGAUGAUGCUUAUCUUUUUAGUGAAAUGUGAUGUUAAGACAUUUGCCCGGAAAGAAGAAAAUAGAGGGCAGAGGUAAGGGGGAAAGAAGGUAAAGAACAGAAAAUCAGUGGUUGCUGAGACUCAAAUAGUGACUCAACAAGAAAGGCAGUCCAGGAUUGCUCCAAAUCAAGAAGAUCCAGAUCUUAAUAAACCUGCUGGGACAACUCCAAUGAACUGCCUUUGCCUGGGACAGAACUGCAGGGCUGCGGUUCCUUCCUGCUUCCUGUGAGGCCAUUUUAAAAGAAUUCUUAACUACAAGUACACAAGCUUGUAGAAGACCCUUUAAGACAAGUCACUGAAAUCCCUGGGAAGGUCUAUUCUGUCCAGCUUCAUCAGCUAACUGGAGAUGUGUUUGGAGAAUGUCCACAGGAAGAGCUUAGCACCAAUCGUCAGAAUUAAGUUAAAGCUUUCCAUACGUUGUUGACCAUGUUGAAAAAAAAAAUCAAACUUGCCAACAUCUACCUUAGAAGGUUUCAAUAUUUAUUUAAACAGGAUCAGUUUCUUCUUUUACUAUGAAAAAAAGCAAAAUACUGCCACCUAAUAGCCCCAUUCCAAGUAAUUUGCAGCACAUAUACAAAUAACUGAGAGAUUGAGGUGCCUGUAUUGAUAAUUCAAGAUUCUCAGAAAAGAUUCUGAGAAAAUGUUUUAUCUCUUAUGUGGUCCAGACUGACUGUCUCCAUUAAAUACAUUCAUUGGAUAAUUGCUUAGCUUUCUACUUUCCUUUUCUGGUGAAGUCACAUACAACAUGUCCAAAAUGGCUAGGAGAAAUCAUGGGAUUUAUGCAUACAAAUACAGCAUUGCUUUUCAAAAAGGACAGAAUAUGUUCAAGAACUAUUUAUAUUCUGGCCAGGCUUUGGAUUUGUAUAUAUUAUAUGCACAGAAAAUAAUUCAUUAUGAGCUAUAUCAUACUGUUUGCCAAACAAAAUGACCUUUGGAUACUGAUGUCAUGCCUUUUUAUACUAGCAGGAGUUAAAGAUGACAAGAGGACCAGAAACUGAUUCCAAGAAUGCAUGGAAUGGUUUCCAUGGAACAUAAUGGCACAAUUGUAUGGAACAAAAUUGAAAAGAACUAGAGAACCGGAAAAGGGUGUGGUGUCUGUAAAAAUGAAAAACUUUAUUCAUGGAUUCAAAUUUAUGCUUAAAAGGAAUUGGAUGCAAUGUAUCAUUCUCAGUUCUCAGGCAGCAGUUAGAAACUAGCUAAAGAGUGAUGGAACUUUCAGAGUAAUCUGGCAAAUUCUCCUGAAAUUUUUUUUUUCUCCAUCUCAAGUAUUCUUAUCACCCGUUGUUUCAUCUGCAGAGGAUGAAAGAAUAUCCUACCUCUUUAAUUUUUAAUUUUAUUUUGACUAAUGCUUUGAAAAAGUCUCCUUCCAAUCUCCUUUUUAGGACUUUACCGUGCCAAUCCUUCAUUGCCUUGUAAACCUGUCAUUUCCCUCACAAAUUUGGAAGGUCUUGUUGGCGGGGUCCAUUUUCUUGAAGAAUGUAAUAUUACUAAUAAGACAGGGACAAAUUCUUGUCCAAAUGAGAGUCCAAAACAUGUGCUUUGCCUUCCCAUCUGAUUGGUCACAUUUUCAUUCUGUUCUACAAUCAAAUUAAACCUUCUGUUGAUUUUUAUAGAGCUUUGUGAACACUGGAAACCACAAAGAUCUUUAAGAUGACCAUAGGCAUGUAAAUACUGGUCACUCAAAGGAUCCUGAAAGGUACAAUUUCCUGACCUUAGUGCAUUCCAAGUCUGUUUCUUAUGUUAAGUUCAAAUAAAGAUGGCUUUCCUUUGGAGACAGGAUCCUGCUAAAUUGCCCAGGAUGGCCUUGAAUUUGUGAUCCUCCUGCUUUAGCCUCCUGAGUU